ensembl:lncRNA
CUCCAGCUGAACGUCGGCAAGACCAAGGAGCUGGUGGUGGACUUCAGAAGGAGUCAGCACAGAGACUACAAGCCCAUUAUCAUUAAUGGAGCUCCAGUGGAGAGGGUGCAGUCCUUUAAGUAUCUUGGUGUCCACUGUGGUCGCAAAUUUUGAAGCCAUUCUGAUAACCUUCUUCCACAAACGAUGUGGAGAUCCAAAUCCAAUUAAAACCAAGACAGUCAAAAAGAUGCUCUGUAAAAGAGUAGAAUUCUUGGAACAGAGUUUAAUACACUGAAUCAUAUGAACAGCAGGAAAAAUACAUACAGACAUUUAGCAAGAAAAUUACAAACAGAAAGCAAGCAAAGCAAAACCCCGGGGUGUACAGCCUUAAGCACAGACAGCAGAGCAACACGGAGACGGACAGGUAGCAGCAGCAGGAGGAAAAGAGCCCUGGGGGCGUCCUCUGGUCCCCUAAUAUAGGGACCAGUAUCGCCGCCCCCUGCUGCUGGGUAACUUUCCCACACGCCCCGCACAGCUGCUGGGGUCAGAUAGCGGCCAAGGUCUUGGCCAAAGGCCAGUCAGGACUCUGAGUACCCCUGCUCUGGCUUAUCACAAUAGGUCAUGACACGGUCAAAGGUCAGAUAUUAAUCCUAAUUAUUAAAUCUUAUUCAGCAAGUGGCACAAUCUUAUAACAUAUAAUACAUAGGUUACAUGCUUAAAAACACUUCAGUUUGGGUUCAGAGUGUGUGUGUGUGUGUGUGUGUGUGUGUGUGUGUGUGUGUGUGUGUGUGUUUUUGUAUGAUAUUUUAUCGUGAUGUGUUCAGGAUCUCUAUUACAAUGUUACUGUUUUGGUUGUGCUGCAUUAAAGACGUUAAAUUAAUUAAUUAUUAAGUAAAUUAUUCAAGAGAACUCUCCCCCUACAUUAACUGCCCUGUUACAGUACCAACUUAAUAAACCUCGGUGAAGCAAAAUGUCUUGUGCUUAAGACUCUACAUGAAAGUUAAAAUAUAUAUGUUCAGUGCACACAGAUAUAUAGUGUAUAUAGUUACAUAGUUAUACAUAUCAAACAAAAAUCCAC